rnacentral:rRNA from 1 species
AUUGAACGCUGGCGGCAUGCCUUACACAUGCAAGUCGAACGGCAGCGCGGGAGCAAUCCUGGCGGCGAGUGGCGAACGGGUGAGUAAUAUAUCGGAACGUGCCCAGUAGUGGGGGAUAGCCCGGCGAAAGCCGGAUUAAUACCGCAUGAGACCUGAGGGUGAAAGCGGGGGAUCGCAAGACCUCGCGCUAUUGGAGCGGCCGGUAUCAGAUUAGCUAGUUGGUGGGGUAAAGGCCUACCAAGGCAACGAUCUGUAGUUGGUCUGAGAGGACGACCAGCCACACUGGGACUGAGACACGGCCCAGACUCCUACGGGAGGCAGCAGUGGGGAAUUUUGGACAAUGGGCGCAAGCCUGAUCCAGCAAUGCCGCGUGCAGGAAGAAGGCCU